AAAUCUAAAUCCCACGAAAGCCCUUUAAUCUCUCUUUGUCUUCUCUUCGAAAUUGACUUUCUUCCAUACAAAAGCUUAACACAUAAAUGUUUGACACACAGUGAAGGCUUUGAUUUCAUCAGCCAUGGGACCAACAAUAGGAUUAUGCACGAUUUUAGGUUUCCUUGAAUGAAAAACAUUAAUGUUUGAUUCACUUUUCUAUAUUUUCUUGAAGUAUUUAGGAUU
rnacentral:lncRNA from 1 species